GACGAACGCUGGCGGCGCGCCUAACACAUGCGAGUCGAACGGAGCUGAGAGAAGCUUGCUUUUCUUAGCUUAGUGGCGAACGGGUGAGUAACGCGUGAGUAGCCUGCCCUGGAGUGGGGGACAACAGUUGGAAACGACUGCUAAUACCGCAUAAGCCCACGAUCCGGCAUCGGAUUGAGGGAAAAGGAUUUAUUCGCUUCAGGAUGGACUCGCGUCCAAUUAGCUAGUUGGUGAGGUAACGGCCCACCAAGGCGACGAUUGGUAGCCGGACUGAGAGGUUGAACGGCCACAUUGGGACUGAGACACGGCCCAGACUCCUACGGGAGGCAGCAGUGGGGGAUAUUGCACAAUGGGGGAAACCCUGAUGCAGCGACGCCGCGUGGAGGAUGAAGGUUUUCGGAUUGUAAACUCCUGUCGUUAGGGACGAUAAUGACGGUACCUAACAAGAAAGCACCGGCUAACUACGUG
rnacentral:rRNA from 1 species